rnacentral:lncRNA from 1 species
CGGGGAGAUGGAGUAUCUUCUUCCAUCACAGAUAGUGGGACUCUGUGCUGAUGCCAGUAAGUAAAGAAGAAGGAAUAAGAAAGACACUGUGUGAUCUAGUAUUAAUAAGGAAGUAAGUGAUCAGAUUACUCCAGCUAGGUCAGUAGAAUCUAUCAUCAAGCAAGUUGAGGCCGACAGCAUUCACAAAUCAACUGUCUACGUU